CGUGUAGGCGGUCAGGUAAGUGGAAUGUGAAAUGCCCCCGGCUCACCCGGGGACCGGCAUCCCAAACUGCCUGGCUUGAGUAUGGGAGAGGAUGGAGGAAUUCCUGGUGUAGCGGUGAAAUGCGUAGAUAUCAGGAGGAACACCGGUGGCGAAGGCGUCCAUCUGGCCCAAUACUGACGCUGAGGCGCGAAAGCUAGGGGAGCAAACG
rnacentral:rRNA from 1 species